rnacentral:lncRNA from 1 species
UUACGGUUAAUUAGCUGCCUCCAUGAGAAGCUGGAGGUGAAUCCAGGUGGCGUGUGACACGUCUGUGGAAACACAGUGAGGUGAGACACAGACAGUCGUUCUGCUGCUCCGUCCUUCCACAUGUUGAUGGACGAAUAACUUCACCAGGGAGGCCAAAAACACAGAACUAAGAACCGACACAGAUGGCUGGACAAGGCCCAACCACAGACAGGUCACAUGACUCACGGUACAACUUCCUGCUCGCUCUAUCACAGCAGUUGGUGUCACUACUCUCGUCGGCUGUGUGAAUUCGAACAGAUUGGCCAGUCGGCGAGGAUCAUUUGCUGAAAAACUCUGUUAAUCUGGCACCGGCUGCCUCCACCACGCUCGUGUUCACGCUCCGCUCCUGAAAACCGUGUUGGGGGGGCAGAGGAUUUCCAAAACAUGUCAGCGCCAGCGACGCUCCGACGCAACGGAAAAGGAAAACACUUAACCAUGUAAUUAAUGACCAUCUUAAAAAAUCUACAAUACGGCAACAAGCACAGAUUUACGUGUCUCCAUCUGUUUAUUCCUCCAGCGUCAUUCUCAUGCAUCCCUCCGUCGCCGGGGGAACCUGGGGGGUCACAACUCACUUCCUGCUGGAAAAGUGCCUGAAAAUGGCGAAGCGGAGCAGCACAUUGAUCCGGGCCUUUCAUCAGGCCUCCUCCUCACCUUAGACGGCUUUGUGGGGGCUCCUGAAGGACCGCGGCGCCCUCGUCGGGCUAACGUUCGCAGAUUAGGACGCCGAUAACCUGCCUGACCCUGAUAGGUAGGGAAGUAAAGCUGGAGCCAUCUAAUUAGCAACGAUCAAAGCGAUGACUUUAUCCCCAAAACAAACCUGCACAACGGAAUGUGGCGCGGUGAGGAUGUGGGGGGGGCAGGGAAGAGGUGAAGGCUGAUGAUAUGCACAGUCUCGCAUUCGGCGUUCCGUCUUUUCCACGUUAUUAGCGUGCAGACAUGUAAGUGGAGAGUGAGCAGCCAGCGAGGAGCACCACUUAUUCAUGAGCACCAGUCUGGAAAUUCCACAUACCUGCACACAUAAAAGGGAAUACAUGGCUCAUUUUCACGGGAUUAGAGGGAAUGAUCCCAGGAACACUCUGCGCUCCCUCGGUUAGAAACAUCA